UACAGAGAUCUCGAGCGUUAGGCGGAAUCACUGGGCUUAAAGCGUGUGUAGGUGGAUGCCUAAGUACCUUGUGAAAUCCCACGGCUUAACCGUGGAACUGCUUGGUAUACUGGGUGUCUUGAGUCACUCAGGGGCGAGCGGAACAAAUGGUGGAGCGGUGAAAUGCGUAGAUAUCAUUUGGAACGCCAAUGGUGAAAACAGCUCGCUGGGGGUGCACUGACACUGAGACACGAAAGCCAGGGGAGCGAACGGG
rnacentral:rRNA from 1 species